UACGGAGGAGGCAAGCGUUAUCCGGAAUUAUUGGGCGUAAAGCGUCCGCAGGCGGCACUUCAAGUCUGUCGUGAAAGACUGGGGCUUAACCCUGGAAAGGCGGUGGAAACUGCAGCGCUAGAGUGCGGUAGGGGUAGAGGGAAUUCCCGGUGUAGCGGUGAAAUGCGUAGAGAUCGGGAAGAACAUCGGUGGCGAAGGCGCUCUACUGGGCCGCAACUGACACUCAGGGACGAAAGCUAGGGGAGCGAAUGGG
rnacentral:rRNA from 1 species